rnacentral:rRNA from 1 species
GACGAACGCUGGCGGCGCGCCUAACACAUGCAAGUCGAGCGAGAACCAGGGCUUCGGCCCUGGGGAAAGCGGCGAACGGGUGAGUAACACGUGGGUAACCUGCCCUCGGCACCGGGAUAGCCCGGGGAAACCCGGAUUAAUACCGGACAGCCUCACGCGCCCUCGGGGGCGUGAGAAAAGGUGGCUUCGGCUUCCGGCGGAGGAUGGGCCCGCGGCCGAUUAGCUUGUUGGUGGGGUAAUGGCUCACCAAGGCUCCGAUCGGUAGCUGGUCUGAGAGGACGAUCAGCCACACUGGGACUGAGACACGGUCCAGACUCCUACGGGAGGCAGCAGUGGGGAAUCUUGGACAAUGGGCGCAAGCCUGAUCCAGCAAUGCCGCGUGCGUGAAGAAGGCCUUCGGGUUGUAAAGCGCUUUUGUCAGGGAGCAAAGACUGAUGGCUAAUAUCCAUCGGAGUUGAGAGUACCUGGAGAAUAAGGACCGGCUAACUACGUGCCAGCAGCCGCCGUAACAC